UGAUGGCGCGCACGGAGACGGUGGACUCCUGCUCGUCCAGCAGGUCGGCCUCGCCGAAAUAUUCGCCGUCGCCCAGCAGGGCUAUCCGCAGUUCUUCGCCGUGGGGACCUUUGCUGAUGACUUCUGCCUGUCCGCUGGCCACGAUGAAGAAGCGCUGCUUGUCCUUGCCUUCCUCGACGAAGAGCUUGUCGACGUCCACCUCUUUCGCCUCGAACGAGCUCACCAGGCGGUGGAGUAUCUCGUCGUCGAACUCGGAGAACAGGGGUAUGGCCUUCAGGUUCUUGGCCGUAAACGACGGCACGCCGUUGACGUAUUGAAUGGGCAGUCGGUCGUUCUUACGAAGUUCCACCUUUGUGCGGUUCACGCGGAAAGUGCCUCCCGACACCUGCACCCAGGGCAAUAGCUUCAGGAGCAAACGGGGGGUGAUGGAGCCCAUCUGAGGGGCGGUCUUUGUGGUCGUCGCCAGUCUUCUGGCGGUAGCAGU
rnacentral:antisense_RNA from 1 species